CCACCACCAAAGCAUUUGCUGUACCGCGUUGACGGAGCGAAGCGACGUCAAACCGAUAAAACAGCAGUGUAAAGUGAGCCGCAGGGCGCUUUGCGCGACAGCGCAAAGGCAGGCGGUUUCGCGUAGCGAAAGCGAAUGCUUUGGGGUGGGGUGACUGCGUACCUUUUGUAUAAUGGGUCAGCGACUUAUAUUCUGUAGCAAGGUUAACCGAAUAGGGGAGCCGGAGGGAAACCGAGUCUUAAUUGGGCGUUAAGUUGCAGGGUAUAGACCCGAAACCCGGUGAUCUAGCCAUGGGCAGGUUGAAGGUUGGGUAACACUAACUGGAGGACCGAACCGACUAAUGUUGAAAAAUUAGCGGAUGACCUGUGGCUGGGGGUGAAAGGCCAAUCAAACCGGGAGAUAGCUGGUUCUCCCCGAAAGCUAUUUAGGUAGCGCCUCGUGAAUUCAUCUCCGGGGGUAGAGCACUGUUUCGGCUAGGGGGCCAUCCCGGCUUACCAACCCGAUGCAAACUGCGAAUACCGGAGAAUGUUAUCACGGGAGACACACGGCGGGUGCUAACGUCCGUCGUGAAGAGGGAAACAACCCAGACCGCCAGCUAAGGUCCCAAAGUCAUGGUUAAGUGGGAAACGAUGUGGGAAGGCCCAGACAGCCAGGAUGUUGGCUUAGAAGCAGCCAUCAUUUAAAGAAAGCGUAAUAGCUCACUGGUCGAGUCGGCCUGCGCGGAAGAUGUAACGGGGCUAAACCAUGCACCGAAGCUGCGGCAGCGACGCUUAUGCGUUGUUGGGUAGGGGAGCGUUCUGUAAGCCUGCGAAGGUGGCC
rnacentral:rRNA from 1 species